CAUUCACUUAUUUUGCUUCAAUAAAUUGAAUAAUCAUUUAAGAUGCAGAUGAGCCGAAGGAUAAAGCGCAUAGGGGAAGUUUCCCACAAUCAAGCAAAUUCAUCAUCAGGAAUGUCCUCAUGACCUUAUAGUAGUCCAUUAUCUCUACAUGGAUCCUCACCCGUUGAAGAUAUUGCGGGGACAGAUACACAUGCAUCUCCUAUGAGUCCACCUAUGAGUCAACGUCAUCAUCGGGAUUCAUCGCCUGGUCUAGACAAUCAUCAUGAUGGAUCCAGUGAUGACGAGAUCCAACACGAGUCUUUUGCGAGAUCUUCUCAGUCGGAAGUUGAAU